CCUACGGGGGGCAGCAGUGGGGAAUAUUGGACAAUGGGCGAAAGCCUGAUCCAGCCAUGCCGCGUGUGUGAAGAAGGCCUUCGGGUUGUAAAGCACUUUCAGUGGGGAAGAAAGCCUUGGGGCUAAUACCCUCGAGGAAGGACAUCACCCACAGAAGAAGCACCGGCUAACUCCGUGCCAGCAGCCGCGGUAAUACGGAGGGUGCGAGCGUUAAUCGGAAUUACUGGGCGUAAAGCGCGCGUAGGCGGUCUGAUAAGCCGGUUGUGAAAGCCCCGGGCUCAACCUGGGAACGGCAUCCGGAACUGUCAGGCUAGAGUGCAGGAGAGGAAGGUAGAAUUCCCGGUGUAGCGGUGAAAUGCGUAGAGAUCGUGAGGAAUACCAGUGGCGAAGGCGGCCUUCUGGACUGACACUGACGCUGAGGUGCGAAAGCGUGGGUAGCAAACAGGAUUAGAUACCCCAGUAGUC
rnacentral:rRNA from 1 species